rnacentral:lncRNA from 1 species
UUUUAGAUCUAUUUCAAUGUGCAUAUCCUUAGGGUUUGUCUUUCUUUGUCAAUUUUAUUUUUAGAUUAUACUACUUUACAUUAGACAAGAGUAUAGGAUUAUUUUCUAGCUCGGUUCUUCUUCUCUAAUAUGUGCAUUCAUGCAAUACUAACACGUGCUAUUAAGCAAAAUGUAGUUCUGCAUUACAAAGCAUUCAUCUUAUUUUAGUUUCUUCUAGAAAAAAGGCACCUCUCUAAUUGGUAGAUAUGCGAUACUUUGCCCACAAGAAUUAACAUAAAACCAGUGACGAUAUUUUUUAAGACAUAUCUUAUAUUUGCUAAAAACAUGCCAAAUUUGGAUGAGAAAUGAUAGAUGUGUGCAGAUAUGAGGCGUGGCGCCUAGCCCAACUCUUCUCCAACUUUUGCUGCUUCACCGGUAUUUAUCUGCGUGGUCGCCAC